GGUUUAAUUCGAUGAUACGCGAGGAACCGUUACCUGGGCUCGAACGUAAGAUGACUGUAGGUGAAAGCUUACAUCUCUUCGGAGCAUUUUACGAGGUGCUGCAUGGUUGUCGUCAGCUCGUGCCGUGAGGUGUCGGGUUAAGUCCCAUAACGAGCGCAACCCCUACCUUUAGUUGCCAUCAGGUUAAGCUGGGGACUCUAAAGGAACUGCCUACGCAAGUAGUGAGGAAGCGGGGAUGACGUCAAAUCAGCACGGCCCUUACGUCCAGGGCUACACACGUGCUACAAUGGUCGGUACAAAGGGUUGCCAAGCCGCGAGGUGGAGCUAAUCCCAUAAAACCGAUCGUAGUCCGGAUCGCAGUCUGCAACUCGACUGCGUGAAGUCGGAAUCGCUAGUAAUCGUGAAUCAGAAUGUCACGGUGAAUACGUUCCCGGGCCUU
rnacentral:rRNA from 1 species